rnacentral:piRNA from 1 species
UAUUGUUUCUUAGUGUCCGCUGAUGUUAAA